UACAGAGGUGGCAAGCGUUGUUCGGAAUUACUGGGCGUAAAGGGCGCGUAGGCGGCCUUCUAAGUCAGACGUGAAAUCCCCAGGCUUAACUUGGGAACUGCGUCUGAUACUGGGAGGCUUGAGUGCGGGAGAGGGACGUGGAAUUCCAGGUGUAGCGGUGAAAUGCGCAGAUAUCAGGAGGAACACCAAUUGCGAAGGCAGCUCGCUGGGACGUUACUGACGCUGAGACGCGAAAGCGUGGGGAGCAAACAGG
rnacentral:rRNA from 1 species